AUUGAACGCUGGCGGCAGGCCUAACACAUGCACGUCGAACGAGUGGCGGACGGGUGAGUAAUGUCUGGGCAACUGCCUGAUGGAGGGGGGUAACUACUGGAAACGGUCGCUAAUACCGCAUCCCACCAGAUGUGCCCAGAUGGGAUUCGCUAGUUGGUGGGGUAACGGCUCACACAGGCGACGAUCCCUAGCUGGUCUGAGAGGAUGACAAGACACACUGGAACUGAGACACGGUCCAGACUCCUACGGGAGACAGCAGUGGGAAAUAUUGCACAAUGGGCGCAAGCCUGAUGCAGCCAUGCCGCGUGUAUGAAGAAGGCCUGCGGGUUGUAAAGUACGUUCAGCGGGGAGGCGUUACCCGCAGAAGAAGCACCGGCUAACGCCGUGCCAGCAGCCGCGGUAAUUC
rnacentral:rRNA from 1 species